ensembl:lncRNA EIPR1-IT1 EIPR1 intronic transcript 1
CUGGCAGGCACAGGGAGUGAAGGCCAGUUCUCCUUGGAGCAUUCUCUAACUUAGUGACCUGGCCUGGGAGACUCCUCAGUGUUCAGAUGGCUGUCCCCUGGCAGGCACAGGGAGUGAAGGCCAGUUCUCCUUGGAGUCCCCGGGACCUGCCUCCAUGCUUGUUGUUGUGAAGGGGUCAGAAAGAAGAUGUGUGUUUGUUGCCGUCUACUGCAUCUCACUUGGAACUGAGUCACUCAUCCCGGAAGCUGCAUCUGAAAAGCAAGGCUCAUUGCGGAAUCUCAUGCAGACACAGAGGAACUUGCGUGCCCGUGAUGCUGACCUCUGCUUGUCCAAAGAAACUGUCAUUUCCCAAAACAUUUUUGGAACUUUUCUUUCAGAAAUGCUCUAAAAGUCAGCUUCAGUGCCAUCUGAGAAAAUCUCUCUGCUGUGUUUUUGUAGGAUACUUUUUGGCUCCUGAUAAUUUAGCCCUAUGAAUCAUCUUUUUCAUUCAUCAGGCUGGCCUCUGAGAUUUUUGACUAUUUUGAGAACUGUACCCUGAAAAACAAGAUUUCUCCUAAUGAAGAACACACAGAAGCCUGUGCUGUUGGAAUUGGCACUGUCCGGAGUUCACAGACAAGAUGGGUCCAGGGGAAGCAAUAGAUGUAAUCUGACACUAGCAAGACUUGGAUUCUCUCCCACACAACCCAGCCAUCAAUAAAACGGCAGUAUCUAGGCCAGA